GCUGGCGGCACGCCUAACACAUGCAAGUCGAACGAAGUAGCAAUACUUAGUGGCAGACGGGUGAGUAACAUGUGGGUAUCUGCCCUUUGGCCUGGAAUAACACGAGGAAACUUGUGCUAAUACUGGAUAAGUCUUUACGGAGAAAGCUUUAUGCACCAUAGGAUGAGCCCGCACUUGAUUAGUUUGUUGGUGGGGUAAUGGCCUACCAAGACUUUGAUCAAUAGCUGAUUUGAGAGGAUGAUCAGCCACAUUGGGACUGAGACACGGCCCAAACUCCUACGGGAGGCAGCAGUGGGGAAUCUUGCACAAUGGAGGAAACUCUGAUGCAGCGAUGCCGCGUGAGUGAAGAAGGCCCUUGGGUUGUAAAGCUCUUUCGUCGGGGAAGAAAAUGACUGUACCCGAAUAAGAAGGUCCGGCUAACUUCGUGCCAGCAGCCGCGGUAAUACGAAGGGACCUAGCGUAGUUCGGAAUUACUGGGCUUAAAGAGUUCGUAGGUGGUUGAAAAAGUUGGUGGUGAAAUCCCAGAGCUUAACUCUGGAACUGCCAUCAAAACUUUUCAGCUAGAGUUUGAUAGAGGAAAGCAGAAUUUCUAGUGUAGAGGUGAAAUUCGUAGAUAUUAGAAAGAAUACCAAUUGCGAAGGCAGCUUUCUGGAUCAUUACUGACACUGAGGAACGAAAGCAUGGGUAGCGAAGAGGAUUAGAUACCCUCGUAGUCCAUGCCGUAAACGAUGUGUGUUAGACGUUGGAAAUUUAUUUUCAGUGUCGCAGCGAAAGCGAUAAACACACCGCCUGGGGAGUACGACCGCAAGUAACUAAUGAUGCG
rnacentral:rRNA from 1 species